rnacentral:rRNA from 1 species
UACGUAGGGGGCGAGCGUUGUCCGGAAUCAUUGGGCGUAAAGAGCGUGUAGGCGGCCCGGUCAGUCUGGUGUGAAAACUUGAGGCUCAACCUCAAGCUGUCAUCGGAUACUGCCGGGCUAGAGUCCGGAAGAGGAGAGUGGAAUUCCUGGUGUAGCGGUGGAAUGCGCAGAUAUCAGGAGGAACAUCCGUGGCGAAGGCGGCUCUCUGGUACGGUACUGACGCUGAGACGCGAAAGCGUGGGGAGCGAACAGG